AACGCACAUUGCGCCCGCCAGUAUUCUGGCGGGCAUGCCUGUCCGAGCGUCAUUUCAACCCUCGAGCCCCCCCGGGGGGUCGGCGUUGGGGAUCGGCUGUCAAGUCAAGACUGCCGGCCCCGAAAUGCAGUGGCGGUCUCGCCGCAGCCUCUCCUGCGCAGUAGCUUGCACGCUCGCAACGGGAGCGCGGCGCGUCCACGGCCGUGAAACAACCCAAACUUCUGAAAGGUUGACCUCGGAUCAGGUAGGAAUACCCGCUGAACUUAA
rnacentral:misc_RNA from 1 species